rnacentral:lncRNA from 1 species
AUAAUAAGAACUUGUCUUAGAUCUUAGGAAUCUUAGCAUAUAUUUUUCCUUUCUUUGGUCAAGAAUUUUCACCUUUUCUCCUAUAUGGUUCUUUCUUUAGCAUCCCAAUGGUCAGCAUUACUACUCCUGUGCUUUGGAGCCAUUAUUAAGUAAAUAAAGACCCCUAGAACAUAAGCACUGUGGUGAUGUAAUAGUGGAUCUGAUGACCAAGAGAGCUACUAAGUGACUAAGGAGUGGGUACCAUAUACAGUGUGGACAAAGGAAUGGUCCAUGUUCUGGGCAGGACAGAGCAGGAUGGAAGGGGAUGAUAUGGGAGAGAUUUCACUGGGCUGCUCAAAACAAAGCCCAACCUAAAACUUAAGGAGAUACUCUUAAUAUUUUUGGGCUGCAGUUGACUACAGGGACAAUGGAUAACAGUCAGGAUGUGUAGCAGAGUGGCUGUAGACUAUGCCAGUGCUGAAGAGCAUUUUGGCUAUGAAGCAUCCAUGGACCUCUAUGCGUUAAAGCUGUGAGAUGAAAAGGCAGGGGAUGCAGUUUCUACUUUUUAGGCAAGUAUAUUUUCUGUUCCUACUGCCCCGAGGUGGUUGAAAGUGGCUGUUGACCUUGGGUAGCAGAU